GUAGGUGAACCUGCGGAAGGAUCAUUAACACGUAUCCAAACGGCAAAACCCCCCCCCGUGAACUUUCAAUCCUGCUCUUGUAACCCGCGUAGUUCGCAAUCUCUAAACUGGGAGGAAAGUUGUUUGAUUCAGAGACCUCUGGCUACGUGAGAACAUUGGAACAGUUACAAUCGAGCGGUAGUUUCAUAGGCAUUGUUUCCCCAAGCAGUCAGUGUCGGAAACUGAUUGUGCAAGGAUAGCGCUUCACGAUUCCUGUAGACCGUACACUCGGGCAGGAGCUAUGCCAAAGGCCCCCUAAUAACCCCAGUUCAAUGUAUAAUACAUUGGGUAAAAAAACCGAACAACUGUUAACAGUGGAUAUCUUGGUUCUC
rnacentral:misc_RNA from 1 species